UCCUUUCUGGACUUUAAAUCCCGGAGAAAGAAUCAGAAACUUGGUUGCAGGCUCGCUUGGCAUUUCAGGCCUGUGGUUGGUGUGGUUGAAACUUGAGCGGCAUCCAUCUGCUGGCGCGUUCCCAAAUCCGUCUUUGGAGGAAGUCUUCCUUCUGGAUGAAUGGCACCCCGAGACACUCCAAAUCAGAUUGAACACACUCGAAAUCCAGGAUUAUAUGAAGAACAGGAGCCCAGUCUCUCAUUAACACCCCCCGCACGCUCGGCUCCUCUCUCAGAGAGCUCAGACCUGGAGACCUUCACACCCUGAGAAGUGGACCGGGGCUGUUGCCCUGCUGGAGAAAAGCAGCAGCUACCACGUCGGGAAGGGAGUGAGUGUCUGCGGGGAAGACCUCACGCCUCUCCCUUCAAUGCCCCAGCUAUGUUGAAAUCCUCUUCAGAGGACCUGAAGACAUCAAUUACACUCAGAUAACAUCUAAAUUUAAACGAUCUUCUAAAGUUGCUUCUCCUAAGAAGGACUCAG